GACGAACGCUGGUGGCGUGCUUAACACAUGCAAGUCGAGCGGUAAGGCUCCUUCGGGAGUACACGAGCGGCGAACGGGUGAGUAACACGUGAGUAACCUGCCCUUCUCAUCGGAAUAAGCGUUGGAAACGACGUCUAAUGCCGAAUACGACUUCGGAAGGCAUCUUCUGAAGUGGAAAGCUCCGGCGGAGAAGGAUGGACUCGCGGCCUAUCAGCUAGUUGGUGAGGUAACGGCUCACCAAGGCGACGACGGGUAGCCGGCCUGCGAGGGUGACCGGCCACACUGGGACUGAGACACGGCCCAGACUCCUACGGGAGGCAGCAGUGGGGAAUAUUGGACAAUGAGCGCAAGCCUGAUCCAGCAACGCCGCGUGAGGGAUGACGGCCUUCGGGUUGUAAACCUCUUUCAGCAGGGACGAAGCGCAAGUGACGGUACCUGCAGAAGAAGGACCGGCCAACUACGUGCCAGCCGCCGCAGUAAAAC
rnacentral:rRNA from 1 species